ACCAAGGCUACGAUCUUUAGCUGGUCUGAGAGGACGAUCAGCCACAUUGGGACUGAGACACGGCCCAGACUCCUACGGGAGGCAGCAGUGGGGAAUAUUGGACAAUGGGCGCAAGCCUGAUCCAGCCAUACCGCGUGUGUGAAGAAGGCCUUCGGGUUGUAAAGCACUUUAAGCAGGGAGAAAAAGUUAUAGGUUAAUACCCUAUGACCUUGAUGUUACCUGCAGAAUAAGCACCGGCUAAUUCCGUGCCAGCAGCCGCGGUAAUACGGAAGGUGCAAGCGUUAAUCGGAAUUACUGGGCGUAAAGCGCGCGUAGGUGGUUUGUUAAGUUGGAUGUGAAAGCCCUGGGCUCAACCUAGGAACUGCAUCCAAAACUAACUCACUAGAGUACGAUAGAGGGAGGUAGAAUUCAUAGUGUAGCGGUGGAAUGCGUAGAUAUUAUGAAGAAUACCAGUGGCGAAGGCGGCCUCCUGGAUCUGUACUGACACUGAGGUGCGAAAGCGUGGGUAGCGAACAGGAUUAGAUACCCUGGUAGUCCACGCCGUAAACGAUGACAACUAGCUGUUGGGAGACUAUGUCUUUCAGUGGCGCAGCUAACGCUUUAAGUUGUCCGCCUGGGGAGUACGGCCGCAAGGCUAAAACUCAAAUGAAUUGACGGGGACCCGCACAAGCGGUGGAGCAUGUGGUUUAAUUCGAUGCAACGCGAAAAACCUUACCUACUCUUGACAUACUUGGAGGCUCUUGUAAUGAGAGCGUGCCUUU
rnacentral:rRNA from 1 species